rnacentral:rRNA from 1 species
UACGUAGGGAGCAAGCGUUGUCCGGAAUCAUUGGGCGUAAAGCGCGCGUAGGUGGCCUCGUAAGUCCGCUGUCAAAGUCAAAGGCUCAACCUUUGAAAGCCGGUGGAUACUGCGGGGCUAGAGUACGGAAGAGGCGAGUGGAAUUCCUGGUGUAGCGGUGGAAUGCGCAGAUAUCAGGAGGAACACCAAUAGCGAAGGCAGCUCGCUGGGACGUUACUGACACUGAGGCGCGAAAGCGUGGGGAGCGAACAGG